UUUUAUUUUGUUUAUUUUCUUGCUUUUUGCAACCGCGGGACCGCGUUUCUGCGCUUCAGAUUGCGUUUUUCCGACUCCUUUGUUUGAUAUCGUGUCGUAUCGUCGUAUUUAUGUAGUUAUUAGGAACGGCAAGGCCUACGUUGUUGCGUCCUUUACCUGAAUAUCGUGACCGAAUCGAGUGUCGUCGAUUUGAAUCGUGUCUUGCGAACCAUCGUCGAACAAAAGGUGAUGGCUGGUCGUGGUUCAUCAGCGUUUGUUUUGAAACUGAUGGGUACCACAAGGCAUGAAGGAGGUGACUUGCAGCAGCAAGGCACUGCAAGCCUUCGCAGCAACUGGCUAGCCAGUGCUGCUCUGUUCUGAACUGCACUGCGUGUCAUGCGGAGGUUUUGUGCAAGCUCUCUGGGCGGUGACGCUAGCCACGGUUGGCUUCGUGGAUGCACAGAAAUACUCAAGGCGCUUGACGUCUGUGGCUCAUCUGUAUUGUUUUUCCCGGUACCACGGCAUGAAGGAGCUGGCCUCCCUCCCUUCCAUCAGCUGCGAGAUACUACAAGCAGUGGGCUACAGCUGCAGCUAGCCCAUGGGUACCGUUCUGCGUCCUGUACUGCAUCUAGUUCGAAAGGCCAUGUGAAAGGCAGCGGCACAGCGUUUACAAACCGGACUUUGCCCUUCACCGAGGGGAAAGUCUACCGACUGGCCCUACAGUUGGCGAGCAUUGUGCAGCCGUGAGCGCGUAACUUGUCCGAAUGCUUUCGUCUGUAUACAGUGACAAAAUGACUCGCUGAAAUGCGAAGUACCAUACAGUACCAUGCCGUACAGCAAACCAUCGAUCACUUGCUGCAGCAACUUUGCGUUUUAAGUCGUAAUAAUAAAGUGAUUUUUAGGCUAAAAUCAUUUUUUCAUACUGCUCAAUUAUUCGGAAUUCUGCACGAUCCCCAUCGGGUCUGCAAUAUCGGUCGGUGGCUGUAUAACCUUUAAACACAAUGGUUACACACCACAGGUACCGGGGACCAUGACAUCAGUGAGCUGGCUUUCACCUUGUCCAAGGCAGCAGCGGAACACUACGGGCGGGACCCUGGAUCACUGCACCAUGGAUGCCGUCCUGUACCCUGCACGGCACUGCGUGUGGCUUAAGUGGCCA